rnacentral:rRNA from 1 species
CAACGCCGCGUGAAGGAAGACGGCCUUCGGGUUGUAAACCGCUUUCAGCAGGGACGAAAUUGACGGUACCUGCAGAAGAAGCUCCGGCCAACUACGUGCCAGCAGCCGCGGUAAGACGUAGGGGGCGAGCGUUGUCCGGAAUUAUUGGGCGUAAAGGGCUCCUAGGCGGUUCAGUAAGUCGACUGUGAAAAUCCAAGGCUCAACCUUGGGACGCCGUCGAUACUGCUGUGACUCGAGUUCGGUAGAGGAGUGUGGAAUUCCUGGUGUACGGUGAAAUGCGCNAUAUCAGGGACACCAAC